CUUACGUAUAUGUCCUCAACAAAUCAAAAAUCACAUAAAGAACAGAACCGCUUGAGCGCUUCCAUGUUCUAUAUCUGUUCCUUGGCUGGCUGUUAAAUAAAAUAAUUUUAAUUCUUCAUAAAUCUUCCAAUUAAAACAUAAAAUUUGCGAAAUUAAUAAAUUUCAGAGAUUGAAAAAAAAGGAAAAAAAAAGAGAGACAAAAGUGUGUUUGAUUGAUGGACGUGGCAACGCCGGUGGUUGCUUCCAAUUGGUGGCACGACGUUAACGAAUCACCGCUCUGGCAGGAUCGCAUCUUUCACGUACUCGCCGCCCUCUACGGCCUCGUCGCUGCCGUCGCUCUGGUACUUAUCCAACCCCCGGCGUUUUAUAUAAUUAUUAGGUUUUUUUAAGAUUCAAAAUUAGCUGAAACUUUUAUUAAUUAUUAACUUAGGGUUACCUUUUAAUUAGGUUCAAUUGAUUCGAAUACAAUUAAGAGUUCCAGAGUACGGCUGGACCACGCAGAAAGUCUUCCAUUUUCUUAAUUUCAUCGUCAAUGCUGGUUCGUAUUUUAUUUAUUCACUUUCUGUUUUUUUUUUUUAAAUUUAAUUCGUUAUGAUUUUUUUUUAAUUUUUGUUUUAUUGGCAGUUCGAUGUGUAGUUUUUGUGUUUCGGCGGGAUGUGCAGAAGUUACAACCAGAUGUAUGUUUGUGUUUUUAGUUAAUGUGUAUCGUUACUUUAUUUUACCUUAUUAGUCUCUAACUCUUGUUCUGUUGAUUGAUUACCUGCUGUUUUAGAUUGUCCGACAUAUAGUGCUUGAUAUGCCAAGUCUUGCCUUCUUCACGACGUAUGCUCUUCUCGUUUUGUUCUGGGCUGAAAUUUACUAUCAGGUUCGGAUUCUUUUUUUCUUUUUUUUUUUAUGGGGCUUUUUUAUAGAUAUUUUGCUGCACUCUGAAUCAGUUGCUUUAUUUUAAUUUUGAUAUGUUUUUUAAACAGGCUCGAGCAGUAUCUACUGAUGGGCUGAGGCCGAGUUUCUUUACUGUUAAUGCAGUGGUUUAUAUUGUUCAGGUGAAAUUUCUCGUUCUUUGUCUCAGUCCAAGUCCAAGAAAAAAAUGGAAAGACACGAGCUGGAUUCAUUCCUUCUACAUGGCUGCUAGUCUUGUUUUAUGAAAAAAAAAAAGGCUUUUCUUUCCUGUUUCUCUAAUUUGAUAAUUGCCAAAUCAUUGAGGAUGCGUUAUAGAAUAGUGGAUUGGAAGUUUUGACGAAUGAAUUACUAUCCUCGAAAGAGAAAUAAUUUUAAAAUUGUCAUUUAGUGAAUUUGUAAACAGUGUAAUAAUACACUUUUGUUGAAUCUUUUGUAUUAAGCUUAUUUAUAAAUCUUGAGCGUGUGAUUUAUUUCUUUCUGUUCUUUUUAUGGAAAUACAGCUUAUCAAUUGUCAUACCAUUGGUUGAAGACUUAGGAAUUUUCAGUGACAAGUAGAUAUCAAAUUUAGGAUUUUUAGUUAAAUAUUUUGAUUCAAGUGCUAAAGUUGUAGAUGACAUAGGGUUUUAAAUCAUUGAAUUGACUGGAAGUACCUACAAAAUGAAGAUAGGACCUAUUUUGGGCAGGUCAGCUGUUACGUAUGAAGAAGUUGGCAACUUGGAGAUAAUUUAAAAGGAACGAACAUCUAUGUGAUGACAUGCUCUGUGCAUGCUAUCUACGGGAUCCUAUUGUCUUUUUCAACUCUCACUUUUCUCUUAUUUACCUAUUUAUUUUAAGGGCAUCAUGCAAAAAUUGUAGAAUAUGAUAGAUGGUAUUUUUCUUUUUUAAGAAUAGUAGAUAACAAGUUUGUAAAAUUUUAUGUUACAACUUUCUUUGCUGGGAACACCGUACAUGACAUUAAUAUGAUUGUAAACCUAGCGGUUAAUCCUACUCCAACUGGGUUUACAUGACGCAGAGUUUGGGUUUUCCUUUGGGUUGAUGGUAGAAAAAUUGACAGAUGGGUCAUACAUCCUGCUAGGCUAUAGGAUAUGAUGACUAAGGUCUAUUAACAUAUGUUUAUGAAGAGAUAGAUUUGAGGUUUAAGAAUGUUUCUAAAAUUUAGGUUCCCUAGAUCAUUUUCUAUGAUGUUAAUAGGUUUGUUUAUGCUGUUUUUGAAAUAAAUUUUUUCUUAGUAUGAUUGUUUUGAUUUUUUGUUUAAUAUCCUUCUUUCUUUCACUCAAUUGGUUUCAGAUUGCUCUGUGGUUGGUCUUAUGCUGGAAGCCUAUCCCAGUUAUUAUAAUCCUAUCUAAAAUGUUCUUUGCAGGUAAUUUCAUCGCCCUACAUUUACUAAACUGUACAUAUUGUGUAUUAUUUGAUUGUUGCAUUGAUAAACUUCCUCUCAAUGUCUAUAUGCCUGCAGCUGUAUCUUUGUUUGCUGCCCUUGGGUUUCUACUUUAUGGUGGAAGGUAAUUAUGUUUAAUUUUGGUGUUAGCUACGUUUGUUUAAAUGGUUGAAUGACAUGAGUGACAAUAUGGUUGUGGCAUCUAUAUAGGUAUUAGCAUUUUAUAAUUAUCAUAAUGUUGUGAACGAUUUUUAUAAAGUAUCAAAUGUCCUUAAUCUUAUUCCAUAUUUUCAGGACUUCACUCAGUUAAUUACAUCGACACAAUUACUUUUUCUGCAGAAAUACCAACAGCAUAUUCUAGUUUCUUGUCCAUAAAGUCAUGUCAAUUACUCUCUCUCUCAAACACAUGCGCACGCACGCACGCACAGAGUAACACAUGCACAUAUGUGUUUAUAUUAUUUCAUUGAUGGCGCACAUGUGAUCCUAAUUUGAUUAAUAUAGGUAAUAAGUCAUAAAUUGUACGACUUUAUUUGUCCAAGACAAUAAGAACAGAUUGCAUGUAGCAAUCACAUAAGAGUAAAAUGAUCUUCUUUGUGUUCCCAAAAAUGUUUUAAAAAAAAAAAUGAAAUGGUUAUUGAAUAUUAAUCCGUGAGUAACACAUUUUAAGCAAUUCAUGAACUAUUUUGUAAAUUAAUUUAUUAUUACAUAAAUUACAGAACUAUAGACCAAGAAGGGAAGAAUAAUAUUGGCUUCGUUGAGUUUCUGUGUAAUUGAUUAUGGAGCUUUGUCAAAUUAAUAUCUUACUAAGUAUCUAUAUUAUAGUCAACAACUCAACCCUUCUAGUCAGAUAUUCUGAUCCAUAUGUGAUGCACAGAAGAAAUUUUAGUGUUGAUGAAAUAUCUAGCAUUGUGUUUUAAUGAAAUGUCUACUAAAAUAUCUUUAUUGGGUCCAUUAUUAAUCUUCAAUCCUACAUUGUAGAGAAUGAUCCUAUUGAAGCAAUGAUGAAUCCCAACUUUGAAUGGGAUUAAUUUACUCUAUGUCAUCCUUCAUUGUCCCCUGGACACUACUUUGUUUCUGACAUAUGUCACUACUUAUCCUUCUUGUUUGCUUUACUUGCUGGACAAAUGCAGCCUUUAGAAUCCAGACAAGAAGUUGUGUUUUUAGCAAUUUGCAAUGUGGUUCAUAAAUCAUAGGGUUCCUUAUCUAGAGUUGAGCUCCUAAAGUUUUUUAUUCCUGGCUAAUGAACUUUUGUGUUUAAUGAAUCAAUGGUGCUUCCUAACAAAAAAUAAAAAAAUUGGCAGUAGUAUUAUUUUGUUUAUCGUUCAUUAUUGUGUAGUUCUUUUAAUCUCAACUCUAUCCUACGGUAUUGUUAUUUGGUGGUGGUGAUGAGAUGAUGUUCUGUUUAAUGAAUGUGGUAUACAGUAUAGCUCUGGCCUAUUCAUUCUUUUUCCUUUCUUUUGGUGAAGGGAUGAGCAAUCACCUCAUGUUUUGUACUUGCGCUGUCUUCAUGCAGGCUGUUCUUAAUGUUGCAGCGUUUCCCUGUAGAAUCCAAAGGUCGGCGUAAGAAGUUGCAAGAGGUAAUCAUUUCUUUUGGUAUUUAAUCUUAUUGAUAAACGUCCAUCAUUUUAUUUUACAAGUUUUUUACAAAGUUUUACUUCUGUUCAUGGUUUGGCAGGUUGGUUAUGUGACCACCAUAUGUUUCACAUGCUUUCUUGUCAGAUGUAUUAUGGUGAGUUCUGUAUUUCAUCUCUCAUUACACUAUUAUGCUUAACUUGGGAGCUUCAUGUCUUUGAACAACAUAACAAUGAUGGAUAGUUAGGAUCAUUAACAAGUAAAACCAUUCCUAGUUGUCGAUUCAUAUGGAAACAUUGGCACAGGUAUUGCUUUUUGAUAUCUGUUUCCGUGUUCAUCUUACGUUUAGCUCUUUUUCUUGUUUCGUUUGUUGUAGAUGUGCUUCAAUGCAUUUGACAAAGCUGCAGACCUUGAUGUUUUGGAUCAUCCAGUUCUGAACUUCAUAUAUUACCUGGUAUGUUUUGGCUUCUGUAUGCAGUGUAAUUGCAUGGUCAGGUAUCAAGUGACAUUUUUUGGGCAUGCGUAUUAAAUAUUUAGUCUGCAGGGGUUGCUUAGUUUAUUUUUUUUGUUUCCCCUUCUCUCUCUUCAAAGGAUGUAUUCCGUUUGUACAAUGCUCUGUUUUUGCUGGGGUAAUAAGAUGCAACUUUGUGAUGAGAAAUAUUUGUCUUUUGUGUUAAUGAAGGUGAUGUUGCUUAUGAUCUGACAUGCUGAUUUAUAAUGCUACUAUGUAUUGAAAUUUAUGUUUACUUGUGUAGAUGCAUUUUCUGCUUAGAUAUUUUGCAUGUAAGUGUUUUCAUUCUUAAUGUUCAUACCAUGUCACCAACACUUCCUCUCUUUGCAGUUGGUGGAGAUACUACCUUCUAUGUUGGUCCUUUUCAUUUUGAGGAAGUUGCCUCCCAAACGUGGUAUCACUCAAUAUCAUCCUAUACGGUGACGGGUCUGGAGAUACUUGAUAGACACAGACAAAGGCAUACCUAGAGAAAAAGAGCAAACGUUCUUUAACUCACAGAAGAUAAGAUACAAGAGGGGAGUCAAAAAAAGAUGCCUAUUGUGUUUAGAGUUCACAGAUUCACAAAUCAAGGGAGCUCGCUUGUCUGUGGAAACGAAAAUGAUGUUGUAAGGAUUGUGAAAUGUUUUGUUUGUGAUUUUGUCAUUGUAUUUCUUGCAACUGAAGUCGAUGCUUUCUUAAGAGAAAGGGUUAAUACUGUGUCUUGUACGUGUCCCAUUGUUUUUCCUUUCUGCUCUCGUUUCAAUAGGUUUUAUUGUUCGAUUUGCAGAGAAAAAUGUUUUUUGAGUUUGUGGUAGAUCCAUGCGGUCAAACAAAUUCACAGAUAGAGGUUUUGAGUUUAUAUAUUCAAGACCUGAGAAAACACACCUGUUGCAAGAAUUGCAAGCCCUUGGUCGGUAGUUUUACACGGAGGCUGAAAAAUCUUCUUGAAGGCUAUUUCUUUGUUCCUCGUUCAAUAGCGCCACAUGUUGUCUAUGAAUAAAACCAAUAAGGGCAAUAAGCAAUGAACUCACGACAUGAAAAACAAAUUUGAAGAAGUAUUUCAGUUUAUCAUUUACAGAAAACUACCUGUGAUUCUCUUUAAGUAUGAGUUGUGAUGCGAGAGCACGGUUCGAGCAGAAAAUUAUUUGAUGAAAUUUCAUGAUCGGUUUGGUGUCGGUGUGUAUGCUCUCCAGUUUCGAAAGCUGGAUAAAUAUUUCAAUAGCUAUUGUUUUAGUGUUGUUAAAAGGAAGGAGA
rnacentral:lncRNA from 1 species